ACGAGGGGUGCAAGCGUUAAUCGGAUUUACUGGGCGUAAAGCGCGCGUAGGCGGCUUGUUAAGUCGGAUGUGAAAGCCCCGGGCUCAACCUGGGAACUGCAUACGAUACUGGCGAGCUAGAGUACGAUAGAGGGUGGUAGAAUUCCUAGUGUAGCGGUGAAAUGCGUAGAUAUUAGGAGGAAUACCAGUGGCGAAGGCGGCCACCUGGAUCGAUACUGACGCUGAAGUGCGAAAGCGUGGGGAGCAAACAGG
rnacentral:rRNA from 1 species